rnacentral:rRNA from 1 species
AUUCGCGGCCUAUCAGCUUGUUGGUGGGGUAAUGGCCUACCAAGGCGACGACGGGUAGCCGGCCUGAGAGGGCGACCGGCCACACUGGGACUGAGAUACGGCCCAGACUCCUACGGGAGGCAGCAGUGGGGAAUAUUGCACAAUGGGCGCAAGCCUGAUGCAGCGACGCCGCGUGGGGGAUGAAGGCCUUCGGGUUGUAAACCCCUUUCAGCAGGGAAGAAGCGCAAGUGACGGUACCUGCAGAAGAAGCGCCGGCUAACUACGUGCCAGCAGCCGCGGUAAUACGUAGGGCGCAAGCGUUGUCCGGAAUUAUUGGGCGUAAAGAGCUCGUAGGCGGUUUGUCGCGUCUGGUGUGAAAACUCAAGGCUCAACCUUGAGCUUGCACCGGGUACGGGCAGACUAGAGUGCGGUAGGGGUGACUGGAAUUCCUGGUGUAGCGGUGGAAUACGCAGAUAUCAGGAGGAACACCGAUGGCGAAGGCAGGUCACUGGGCCGCAACUGACGCUGAGGAGCGAAAGCAUGGGGAGCGAACAGGAUUAGAUACCCUGGUAGUCCAUGCCGUAAACGUUGGGCACUAGGUGUGGGGCUCAUUCCACGAGUUCCGUGCCGCAGCAAACGCAUUAAGUGCCCCGCCUGGGGAGUACGGAAU